rnacentral:rRNA from 1 species
UACGUAGGGGGCAAGCGUUAUCCGGAUUUACUGGGUGUAAAGGGAGCGUAGACGGCGGGGCAAGUCUGGAGUGAAAGGCCGGGGCCCAACCCCCGGACUGCUCUGGAAACUAUAUGACUGGAGUGCAGGAGAGGUGAGCGGAAUUCCUAGUGUAGCGGUGAAAUGCGUAGAUAUAUGGAAGAACACCAGUGGCGAAAGCGGCUCUCUGGUCUGUAACUGACGCUGAGGUUCGAAAGCGUGGGUAGCAAACAGG